GUCCCUUCGAGGACUUUCGAUAAAAUUGGAAUGAUACAAAGAAGAUUAGCAUGAUUCUUGUGCGAGGACGGCAAGAACAAAUGGGUAAGCACAUCUACUCUU